rnacentral:rRNA from 1 species
UUAGGAAUCUUGCGCAAUGGGGGAAACCCUGACGCAGCCAUGCCGCGUGAAUGAUGAAGGUCUUAGGAUUGUAAAAUUCUUUCAGCGGGGACGAUAAUGACGGUACCCGCAGAAGAAGCCCCGGCUAACUUCGUGCCAGCAGCCGCGGUAAUACGAAGGGGGCUAGCGUUGCUCGGAAUUACUGGGCGUAAAGGGCGCGUAGGCGGAUGUUUAAGUCAGCGGUGAAAGCCCAGGGCUCAACCUUGGAACUGCCAUUGAUACUGGACAUCUUGAGUUCGGGAGAGGUGAGUGGAACGCCGAGUGUAGAGGUGAAAUUCGUAGAUAUUCGGCAGAACACCAGUGGCGAAGGCGACUCACUGGCCCGAUACUGACGCUGAGGCGCGAAAGCGUGGGGAGCAAACAGG